AGUCGACGCCCCGCAAGGGGAGUGGCAGACGGGUGAGUAACGCGUGGGAAUCUACCUAGUUCUACGGAACAACAGUUGGAAACGACUGCUAAUACCGUAUACGCCCUACGGGGGAAAGAUUUAUCGGAAUUAGAUGAGCCCGCGUAAGAUUAGCUAGUUGGUGGGGUAAUGGCCUACCAAGGCGACGAUCUUUAGCUGGUCUGAGAGGAUGAUCAGCCACACUGGGACUGAGACACGGCCCAGACUCCUACGGGAGGCAGCAGUGGGGAAUAUUGGACAAUGGGCGCAAGCCUGAUCCAGCCAUGCCGCGUGAGUGAUGAAGGCCUUAGGGUUGUAAAGCUCUUUCACCGAUGAAGAUAAUGACGGUAGUCGGAGAAGAAGCCCCGGCUAACUUCGUGCCAGCAGCCGCGGUAAUACGAAGGGGGCUAGCGUUGUUCGGAUUUACUGGGCGUAAAGCGCACGUAGGCGGUUUGUUAAGUCAGAGGUGAAAUCCCGGAGCUCAACUCCGGAACUGCCUUUGAUACUGGCAAGCUAGAGUCCGGAAGAGGUAAGUGGAACUCCUAGUGUAGAGGUGGAAUUCGUAGAUAUUAGGAAGAACACCAGUGGCGAAGGCGGCUUACUGGUCCGGAACUGA
rnacentral:rRNA from 1 species